rnacentral:rRNA from 1 species
AGAUUGAACGCUGGCGGCAUGCCUUACACAUGCAAGUCGAACGGCAGCACGGGAGCAAUCCUGGUGGCGAGUGGCGAACGGGUGAGUAAUAUAUCGGAACGUGCCCAGUCGUGGGGGGAUAACGCAGUGAAAGCUGUGCUAAUACCGCAUACGAUCUAUGGAUGAAAGCGGGGGACUCGCAAGAGCCUCGCGCGAUUGGAGCGGCCGAUAUCAGAUUAGCUAGUUGGUGGGGUAAAAGCCCACCAAGGCGACGAUCUGUAGCUGGUCUGAGAGGACGACCAGCCACACUGGAACUGAGACACGGUCAGACUCCUACGGGAGGCAGCAGGUGGGAAUUUUGGACAAGUGGGCGCAAGCCUGAUCCGAGCAAGUCGCCGCGUGC